GUUUUUCUUCUUCUUUUUUU
rnacentral:sRNA from 1 species